rnacentral:rRNA from 1 species
UACAGAGGGUGCAAGCGUUAAUCGGAUUUACUGGGCGUAAAGGGCGCGUAGGUUGUUAUUUAAGUGAGAUGUGAAAUCCCCGGGCUUAACCUGGGAACUGCAUCUUAUACUGGGUAACUGGAGUGCAAUAGAGGGCAGUGGAAUUUCCGGUGUAGCGGUGAAAUGCGUAGAUAUCGGAAGGAACACCAGUGGCGAAGGCGGCUACCUGGAUUGACACUGACACUGAGGCGCGAGAGCGUGGGGAGCAAACAGG